UCCUUUAAGUUUCAGCCUUGC
rnacentral:siRNA from 1 species